rnacentral:lncRNA from 10 species
GAAAGAAAGAAGAGAGAGAGAAAGAAAAAGAGAGAGAGAAAGAAAGGGAGAAAAGAAAGAAGAUAUCCAAGGGAAGCAAAAUGUUUCAGAUGGGAGGGAGCACCGCAAAGGGAAAUGACUAGAAGUUUAGUAAAAACACAGGCUGUGAAGCAUGCACCAGAAGUGCAAAUGGGUCCUCGGUGACCCCAUUGAGAGAAGUUUUAGGGGAGUGCUGGGGGCUGACACUAGUUUUUAGUGGAUUAAGAAAUCCUGGGAGAGAGGAGUAGAGACUAUUCUUUUAAGAAACGUGAUAGUGACAGGGAAGAGAAGGAAUAGUGAGCUGAGGAAAUGCAGGAUCAUAAAAGUGGGUUUAGGACAGCAGCAGCUGGACAUCUGUGUAUGCUGAAAUGAACCCACUGGAAAACAGGUGCUGAUGAAGGAGGUGCCGGCUCUCAGAAGAGGCAGGAGGCCCAGGUGGGAGUCUGUCUUGGACAGAGGCCUGGAGUGGUAUGAAGGAGGGGUGAGCCGAGGGGAGAGCUGAGGCCUGAUGAAGUGGGGACCCUAGCCCUCUGCAGAAGGGAAGCUAUUCGGCAAGGGGGUGCCAGGGAAGGCAGCGGCUUCCUCAGCACUUGCUGCGGGAAGAAACACUGAAGUCCCAGGCUUCCAGGUAAUGCUGUUUUCAUCAGCAGAGCCCCGCUGGCCUGAGCUGGAAUUCUGACUGAGCAGGUGACAUGGGCAAGGGCCGGGGGUGAGGCACAGAGUCUGCUGCGGAAGCAUCUGCGGGGUGCAGUAGCCAGUAGAGGCGGCCCCGUGUAUGCCUCGGGGCUGGGCGUCCCGCAGAGGGGGUUACUCACUGCUGACUCAGCCCCAGGUGCUCAUUUGCAUGUUACUCAUUUCAAGCCAAAAACACUGGAGCAGGAGUACAGGAGCAUCUCAUCCCCUUUCCAAACAGAACCACCCCAGGUCUUCCCAGCGCUCCUGCUGCUGUGCCGAGUCUCUCUGACCCAGAAAUAUUUCUACUUUGGAAGAGUCUACUAAGCUGUGCUGUAUAGCUAUCUGUGAAAUUGAGCUGAAAAAUUCAAAGAAACACUCAGAAAAUUCAUUUUCUCUGUAAGGAUAUCAAGGUAAGUUUAACAUGCCAAGAGCCUGGGCCUUCCCCCUUCCAAAUAUUAUCUUAUUUUCACCUGACUUCUCCCCCACCAGAAUGUAACCUCCAAGAGGAUAGUAACAUUGUUUUGUACUCUGUGCCCAGAACAGUGCACGGCAUGUAGCAGGUGCUCAAUAAAUGGAUUAAAUUCUGUAAUCCCAGCACUUUGGGAGGCCGAGGUGGG